rnacentral:rRNA from 1 species
AGAGUUUGAUCCUGGCUCAGAAGGAACGCUGGCAGCGUGCAUAACACAUGCAAGUUGAACGGGAUUGUUAUCUUCGGAUAACAUGAGAGUAGCGAACGGGUGAGUAACACGUAAGAAUCUACCUUUAGGACGGGGAUAACUUCUGGAAACGGAUGCUAAUACCCGAUAUGCUGUGGAGUGAAAGAAUUUUCGCCUAAAGAUGAGCUUGCGUCUGAUUAGCUAGAUAGGGUGGUAAUGGCACACUAUGGCGACGAUCAGUAGCUGGUCUGAGAGGAUGGACAGCCACAUUGGAACUGAGACACGGUCCAAACUCCUACGGGAGGCAGCAGUGGGGAAUUUUCCGCAAUGGGCGAAAGCCUGACGGAGCGACGCUGCGUGAAGGAUGACGGCCUGCGGGUUGUAAACUUCUUUUCUCGAAGAAGAAUCAAUGACGGUAUUCGAGGAAUAAGCAUCGGCUAACUCUGUGCCAGCAGCCGCGGUAAGACAGAGGAUGCAAGUGUUAUUCGGAUUGAUUGGGCGUAAAGCGUCUGUAGGCGGUUUAGAAAGUCUCUUGUGAAAUUCUUCAGCUCAACUGAGGGUCCGCAAAAGAAACUUCUAGGCUUGAGGGAAGUAGAGGUAUAGGGAAUUUCCGGUGGAGCGGUGAAAUGCGUAGAUAUCGGAAGGAACACCAAUAUGGCGAAGGCACUGUACUGGGCUUUUCCUGACGCUAAGAGACGAAAGCUAAAGGAGUGAUUAGGAUUAGAUACCCUAGUAAUUUUAGCCGUAAACGAUGGAAACUCACUGCCGAGCCGGUAUUCGGAGCGGUGGUCAAGCUAACGCGUGAAGUUUCCCGCCUGGGGAUUACGCAUGCAAAUGUGAAACUCAAAGGAAUUGACGGGGACCCGCACAAGCGGUGGAGUAUGUGGUUUAAUUCGAUGCAACGCGAAGAACCUUACCUGGUCUUGACAUAUCUAGAAUCCUGCAGAGAUGCGGGAGUGCCUUCGGGAAUUAGAAUACAGGUGCUGCAUGGCUGUCGUCAGCUCGUGUCGUGAGAUGUUGGGUUAAGUCCCGCAACGAGCGCAACCCUUGUCCUUAGUUACCAGCGGGUUAAGCCGGGAACUCUAAGGAUACUGCCAGUGACAAACUGGAGGAAGGCGGGGACGACGUCAAGUCAUCAUGGCCCUUACGACCAGGGCUACACACGUGCUACAAUGGUAGGUACAGAGGGCAGCUACACAGCGAUGUGAUGCGAAUCUUUCAAAGCCUAUCGUAGUCCAGAUUGGAGUCUGCAACUCGACUCCAUGAAGUAGGAAUCGCUAGUAAUCGCGGAUCAGAAUGCCGCGGUGAAUACGUUCCCGGGCCUUGUACACACCGCCCGUCACACCAUGGGAGUUGAUUGCACCAGAAGUGGUUAGCCUAACUUAGUGAGGGCGAUCACCACGGUGUGGUUGAUGACUGGGGUGAAGUCGUAACAAGGUAACC